rnacentral:rRNA from 1 species
UACAGAGGGGGCAAGCGUUAUUCGGAAUUAUUGGGCGUAAAAGGGCGCGUAGGCGGCCUUUCAAGUGACGGGUGAAAGCCCUCGGCUUAACCGAGGAACUGCCUGUCAGACUGGAAGGCUUGAGACCGGGAGAGGUGAGUGGAAUUCCCAGUGUAGCGGUGAAAUGCGUAGAUAUUGGGAGGAACACCAGUGGCGAAGGCGGCUCACUGGACCGGUACUGACGCUGAGGCGCGAAAGCGUGGGGAGCAAACAGG